UACAGAGGGUGCAAGCGUUAAUCGGAAUUACUGGGCGUAAAGCGUGCGUAGACGGUUGCGUAAGUCAGAUGUGAAAGCCCCGGGCUCAACCUGGGAAUUGCAUUUGAGACUGCGUAGCUAGGGUGCGGAAGAGGGAAGCGGAAUUUCCGGUGUAGCGGUGAAAUGCGUAGAUAUCGGAAGGAACACCAGUGGCGAAAGCGGCUUCCUGGUCCAGCACCGACGUUCAGCACGAAGCGUGGGAGCAAACAGG
rnacentral:rRNA from 1 species